CCUACGGGAGGCAGCAGUGGGGAAUAUUGGACAAUGGGGGGAACCCUGAUCCAGCCAUGCCGCGUGUGUGAAGAAGGCCCUCGGGUUGUAAAGCACUUUCAGUGAGGAAGAACGCCUGGUGGUUAAUACCCAUCAGGAAAGACAUCACUCACAGAAGAAGCACCGGCUAACUCCGUGCCAGCAGCCGCGGUAAUACGGAGGGUGCGAGCGUUAAUCGGAAUUACUGGGCGUAAAGCGCGCGUAGGUGGCUUGAUAAGCCGGUUGUGAAAGCCCCGGGCUCAACCUGGGAACGGCAUCCGGAACUGUGAAGCUAGAGUGCAGGAGAGGAAGGUAGAAUUCCCGGUGUAGCGGUGAAAUGCGUAGAGAUCGGGAGGAAUACCAGUGGCGAAGGCGGCCUUCUGGACUGAAACUGACACUGAGGUGCGAAAGCGUGGGUAGCAAACAGGAUUAGAUACCCCAGUAGUC
rnacentral:rRNA from 1 species